rnacentral:rRNA from 1 species
GACAGAGGGUGCAAACGUUGCUCGGAAUUACUGGGCGUAAAGCGCGUGUAGGCUGACCCUCAAGUCGGUCGUGGAAGCCCUGAGCUCAACUCAGGAACUGCAUCCGAAACUGAGGGCCUAGAGUAGUGGAGAGGAAAGCAGAAUUCCUGGUGUAGAGGUGAAAUUCGUAGAUAUCAGGAGGAACACCGGUGGCGAAGGCGGCUUUCUGGACACUUACUGACGCUGAGACGCGAAAGCGUGGGGAGCAAACAGG